rnacentral:rRNA from 1 species
AGAGUUUGAUCCUGGCUCAGGAUGAACGCUAGCGACAGGCUUAACACAUGCAAGUCGAGGGGUAACAGGGUGUAGCAAUACACCGCUGACGACCGGCGCACGGGUGAGUAACGCGUAUGCAACCUGCCUUUGACAGAGGGAUAGCCCAUGGAAACGUGGAUUAAUACCUCAUAGUCUCUUUUUCCUUCCUGGGGAAUAGAGUAAAACGUGAGUGGUCAAAGAUGGGCAUGCGUCCUAUUAGGCAGUUGGCGGGGUAACGGCCCACCAAACCGAUGAUAGGUAGGGGUUCUGAGAGGAAGGUCCCCCACACUGGUACUGAGACACGGACCAGACUCCUACGGGAGGCAGCAGUGAGGAAUAUUGGUCAAUGGUCGAGAGACUGAACCAGCCAAGUCGCGUGAGGGAGGACUGCCCUAUGGGUUGUAAACCUCUUUUCUACUGGGAGAAUAAGCCCUAUGUAUAGGGUGAUGACAGUACAGUAGGAAUAAGCAUCGGCUAACUCCGUGCCAGCAGCCGCGGUAAUACGGAGGAUGCGAGCGUUAUCCGGAUUUAUUGGGUUUAAAGGGUGCGUAGGCGGCUUUAUAAGUUAGUGGUAAAAUUUCGGAGCUUCACUCCGGUCCGCCAUUAAAACUGUAGAGCUAGAGAAUGGACGAGGUAGGCGGAAUAAGUUAAGUAGCGGUGAAAUGCAUAGAUAUAACUUAGAACUCCGAUAGCGAAGGCAGCUUACCAGACUGUAACUGACGCUGAUGCACGAGAGCGUGGGUAGCGAACAGGAUUAGAUACCCUGGUAGUCCACGCCGUAAACGAUGCUCACCGGCCCUUAGCGAUAAGACAGUUAGGGGUUAAUUGAAAGAAUUAAGUGAGCCACCUGGGGAGUACGUCGGCAACGAUGAAACU